AUCUAUGGCCAUGCUAUCCUGAACAAGCCCAAUCCCAUCUGAUCUCAGAAGCUAAGCAGGGUUGGGCCGGUUAGUACUUGGGUGGCAGACCACCUAGGAAGACCGAGUGCUAUAGACA
rnacentral:rRNA from 1 species